rnacentral:RNase_P_RNA from 1 species
CGAGCCGGCCGGACGGCCGCGGCGUCGAUCUCCGGAUCGAUGUCGAGGAACGUCCGGGCUCCACAGGGCAGGGUGGUGGGUAACGCCCACCCGGGGUGACCCGCGGGAAAGUGCCACAGAAAACAGACCGCCGGGGACCGUACGCGUACGGCUCCCGGUAAGGGUGAAACGGUGGUGUAAGAGACCACCAGCGCCUGAGGCGACUCAGGCGGCUAGGUAAACCCCACCCGGAGCAAGGUCAAGAGGGACCCUCGACAGAGGAUCCUGCGCGGACGACCGAGGGCUGCCCGCCCGAGUCCGCGGGUAGACCGCACGAGGCCGGCAGCAAUGCCGGUCCCAGAUGGAUGGCCGUCUCCUCCCGGGCCGCAAGACCCCGGAGCGACAGAACCCGGCGUACAGGCCGACUCGUCCG